UGUUCUGUGGCUUAGUUGGUUAAAGCACCGGUCUAGCGAAUCGUGGGUUCGAAUCCCACCAGAACGC
rnacentral:tRNA from 1 species